CCUGGUUGAUCCUGCCAGUAGCAUAUGCUUGUCUCAAAGAUUAAGCCAUGCAAGUCUAAGUACACACGGUCGGUACAGUGAAACUGCGAAUGGCUCAUUAAAUCAGUUAUGGUUCCUUUGAUCGCUCCAACGUUACUUGGAUAACUGUGGCAAUUCUAGAGCUAAUACAUGCAAACGAGCGCUGACCUCCGGGGAUGCGUGCAUUUAUCAGACCCAAGACCCUCGCGGGGAUGCCUCUCGGGGCGCCCCGGUUGCUUUGGUGACUCUAGAUAACCUCGAGCCGAUCGCUGGCCCACCGUGGCGGCGACGUCUCAUUCGAAUGUCUGCCCUAUCAACUUUGGAUGGUACUUUAAGUGCCUACCAUGGUGACCACGGGUAACGGGGAAUCAGGGUUCGAUUCCGGAGAGGGAGCCUGAGAAACGGCUACCACAUCCAAGGAAGGCAGCAGGCGCGCAAAUUACCCACUCCCGACUCGGGGAGGUAGUGACGAAAAAUACCAAUACAGGACUCUUUCGAGGCCCUUUAAUUGGAAUGAGUACACUUUAAAUCCUUUAACGAGGAUCUAUUGGAGGCCAAGUCUGGUGCCAGCAGCCGCGGUAAUUCCAGCUCCAAUAGGGAUCUUUAAAGUUGCUGCAGUUAAAAAGUUCGUAGUUGGAUUUCGGAAUCGAGCUGACGUUCCGCCGGGAGGCGAGUUACCUUUUUUCCCAGCCCCUGCCUUUGGGGGCCCCCCCGAUGUUUUUACCGGAGUGUCCCGCGGGGUCCGAAGCGUUUACUUUGAAAAAAUUAGAGUGUUCAAAGCAGGCCCGGUCGCCUGAAUACCGCAGCUAGGAAUCAUGGAAUAGGACUCCGGUUCUAUUCUGCGGGUUUUCUCUGAACUGGGGCCCUGAUUAAAAGGGACGGCUCGGGAGCCUCCGUAUUGUGCCGCUAGAGGUUAAUUUCUGGGCCGGCGCCAGCCCGGGUCCGGGCCCGGAGUCGGUCCGUCA
rnacentral:rRNA from 1 species